rnacentral:rRNA from 1 species
CGAGCGCAACCCCUAUUGUUAGUUGCCAUCAUUCAGUUGGGCACUCUAGCGAGACUGCCGGUAAUAAACCGGAGGAAGGUGGGGAUGACGUCAAAUCAUCAUGCCCCUUAUGACCUGGGCUACACACGUGCUACAAUGGUUGGUACAACGAGUUGCGAGUCGGUGGACGGCGAGCUAAAUCUCUUAAAGCCAAUCUCAGUUCGGAUUGUAGGCUGCAACUCGCCUACAUGAAGUCGGAAUCGCUAGUAAUCGCGGAUCAGCACGCCGCGGUGAAUACGUUCCCGGGCCUU